rnacentral:rRNA from 1 species
UAAUACGGAGGGAGCUAGCGUUGUUCGGAAUUACUGGGCGUAAAGCGCACGUAGGCGGCGACUCAAGUCAGAGGUGAAAGCCCGGGGCUCAACCCCGGAACUGCCUUUGAAACUAGGUCGCUAGAAUCUUGGAGAGGUCAGUGGAAUUCCGAGUGUAGAGGUGAAAUUCGUAGAUAUUCGGAAGAACACCAGUGGCGAAGGCGACUGACUGGACAAGUAUUGACGCUGAGGUGCGAAAGCGUGGGGAGCAAACAGG